rnacentral:rRNA from 1 species
AGAGUUUGAUCCUGGCUCAGAACGAACGCUGGCGGCAGGCCUAAAACAUGCAAGUCGAACGAUGUAGCAAUACAUAGUGGCGCACGGGUGCGUAACGCGUGGGAACAUACCCUUUGGUGCGGAACAACGUCUGGAAACGGACGCUAAUACCGCAUAAUAUCUACGGAUCAAAGAUUUAUCGCCAAGGGAUUGGCCCGCGUCUGAUUAGCUAGUUGGUGAGGUAAUGGCUCACCAAGGCGACGAUCAGUAGCUGGUCUGAGAGGAUGAUCAGCCACACUGGGACUGAGACACGGCCCAGACUCCUACGGGAGGCAGCAGUUAGGAAUAUUGGACAAUGGGCGAAAGCCUGAUCCAGCCAUGCCGCGUGUGUGACGAAGGCCUUAGGGUUGUAAAGCACUUUCGUCUGUGAAGAUAAUGACAGUAGCAGAAGAAGAAGCUCCGGCUAAAUUCGUGCCAGCAGCCGCGGUAAU